GACGAACGCUGGCGGCGUGCUUAACACAUGCAAGUCGAACGGUAAGGCCCUUCGGGGUACACGAGUGGCGAACGGGUGAGUAACACGUGGGUGAUCUGCCCUGCACUUCGGGAUAAGCCUGGGAAACUGGGUCUAAUACCGGAUAGGACUCCGGACUGCAUGGUCUGGGGUGGAAAGCUUUUGCGGGGUGGGAUGGGCCCGCGGCCUAUCAGCUUGUUGGUGGGGUGAUGGCCUACCAAGGCGACGACGGGUAGCCGGCCUGGGAGGGUGACCGGCCACACUGGGACUGAGAUACGGCCAAGACUCCUACGGGAGGCAGCAGUGGGGAAUAUUGCACAAUGGGCGCAAGCCUGAUGCAGCGACGCCGCGUGAGGGAUGACGGCCUUCGGGUUGUAAACCUCUUUCAGCAUCGACGAAGCGAAAGUGACGGUAGGUGCAGAAGAAGGACCGGCCAACUACGUGCCAGCCGCCGCGGUAA
rnacentral:rRNA from 1 species